rnacentral:lncRNA from 1 species
UAAACAUCCUAUUCGUAACCCUCUUGUGGAUCGAGAUCUGGAUCUUGAUCCUCUUAAUCUGAAAUGGUUAAUGAAAGAGUGAGCUAUACUAACCCAGAAAGAAUGCCACACUACUUACCGAUACAAAAAUGAAGGUUUGUAAAAAUCAUAAAAAUAACUAAUGGAGCUCUUAAUUUAAGUACAUUCAUUUAUCAUAAAUAAAAUCAUUUAUUACAUACUUAUCGUAGCGAGAUUUUCAAAACCGACCUAUAGAGACAAUAAUAUAACAACAUCAUAAUCUCAUAUUUAAGUAAGUAAGAAUAAUAACUUU